AGUGAACGCUGGCGGUAGGCCUAACACAUGCAAGUCGAACGGCGGCACAGUAAGUGCUUGCUCUGACGGGUGGCGAGUGGCGGACGUGUGAGGUAAACAUCGGAAUCUAGUUUUUCGUGGAGGAUAACGUAGGGAAACUUACGCUAAGACCGCAUACGACCUACGGUUGAAAUCAGGGGAUCUUCGUACCUUGCGCGAUUGAAUGAGCCGAUGUCGGAUUAGCUAGUUUGCGGGGUAAAGGCCCACCAAGGCGACGAUCCGUAGCUGGUCUGAGAGGAGGAUCGCCCCCCCUGGAGCUGGGACACCCUCCAGGCUCCUGCGGCAGGCACCAGUGGGGAAUGUUAGACAGUAGGCGCAAGCAUGAUACAGCCGUACCGCGUGUGUUACGACGGCGUUCCGGUUGUAAUGACCUUCUGUUGGUAAAGAACCGCAGUAGGCUAAUACCACGCUGUUCUGACGGUACCCACAGAAUAAGCACCGGCUAACUUCGUG
rnacentral:rRNA from 1 species